rnacentral:rRNA from 1 species
AUUGAACGCUGGCGGCAGGCCUAACACAUGCAAGUCGAACGAGUGGCGGACGGGUGGGUAAUGUCUGGGAACCUGCCCGAUGGAGGGGGAUAACUACUGGAAACGGUAGCUAAUACCGCAUACCAUCGGAUGUGCCCAGAUGGGAUUGGGUAGUGGGUGGGGUAACGGCUCACCUAGGCGACGAUCCCUAGCUGGCCGGAGAGGAUGACAAGCCACACGGGAACUGAGACACGGUCCAGACUCCUACGGUAGGCAGCAGUGGGGAAUAUUGCGCAAUGGGCGCAAGCCUGAUGCAGCCAUGCCGCGUGUAUGAAGAAGGCCUUCGGGUUGGAAAGUCCUUUCAGCGAGGAGGCGUUACUCGCAGAAGAAGCACCGGCUAACUACGUGCCAGCCGCCGCGGUAAUAC